rnacentral:rRNA from 1 species
UGGGGAAUUUUGGACAAUGGGCGAAAGCCUGAUCCAGCAAUGCCGCGUGCAGGAAGAAGGCCUUCGGGUUGUAAACUGCUUUUGUACGGAACGAAAAGGCUCUUUCUAAUAAAGGGGGCUCAUGACGGUACCGUAAGAAUAAGCACCGGCUAACUACGUGCCAGCAGCCGCGGUAAUACGUAGGGUGCGAGCGUUAAUCGGAAUUACUGGGCGUAAAGCGUGCGCAGGCGGUUCUAUAAGACAGAUGUGAAAUCCCCGGGCUCAACCUGGGAAUGGCAUUUGUGACUGUAGAGCUAGAGUACGGUAGAGGGGGAUGGAAUUCCGCGUGUAGCAGUGAAAUGCGUAGAUAUGCGGAGGAACACCGAUGGCGAAGGCAAUCCCCUGGACCUGUACUGACGCUCAUGCACGAAAGCGUGGGGAGCAAACAGGAUUAGAUACCCGAGUAGUCCCUGAGCGGGCUGGCAAGGCGCAU